GUGGGGAAUAUUGGACAAUGGGCGCAAGCCUGAUCCAGCCAUGCCGCGUGUGUGAAGAAGGUCUUCGGAUUGUAAAGCACUUUAAGUUGGGAGGAAGGGCAUUAACCUAAUACGUUAGUGUUUUGACGUUACCGACAGAAUAAGCACCGGCUAACUUCGUGCCAGCAGCCGCGGUAAUACGAAGGGUGCAAGCGUUAAUCGGAAUUACUGGGCGUAAAGCGCGCGUAGGUGGUUCGUUAAGUUGGAUGUGAAAGCCCCGGGCUCAACCUGGGAACUGCAUCCAAAACGGCAUGACUAGAGUACGGUAGAGGGUAGUGGAAUUUCCUGUGUAGCGGUGAAAUGCGUAGAUAUAGGAAGGAACACCAGUGGCUGAGGCGACUACCUGGACUGAUACUGACACUGAGGUGCGAAAGCGUGGGGAGCAAACAGGAUUAGAUACCCUUGUAGUCC
rnacentral:rRNA from 1 species